GUUUUAACCAGGCAAAUUGGCCAAGCAUCAGGCAGAAGUAGCAGCUGGGCCUGGGAGGACAGGUGACAUCUAGAUGGAGUCUCACUCUGGAGUGAUCUCGGCUCACUGCAACCUCUGCCUCCUGGGUUCAAGCAAUUCUGCCUCAGCCUCCCGAGUAGCUGGGACUACAGGUGCAUGCCACCAUGCCUGGCUAAUUUUUUUUUGUAUUUUAGUAGCGACAGGGUUUCACCUUGUUGCCCAGGCUGGUCUUGAGCUCCUGAGCUCAGGCAAUCUGCCUGCCUCGGCCUCCCAAAGUGCUAGGAUUACAGGCGUGAGCCACCACGCCCGGCCGAUUAUGUUAUGUUAUGUAUGUUAAAGUAUGUCCUAUCCUCAUCCUCUGACAAAUAUGCCUUUAAAAGGAUAAAAUUUUAAAAUAUAUAUGAAGCUAUGAUUUGUAUAUGACAGAAAGUUAGCAAAAUGUCAAAGAUCAUGAAAUUUCAUGUUUAUUGCGCAUGUCUGGG
rnacentral:lncRNA from 1 species